GGUGGAGCGAUUUGUCUGGUUAAUUCCGAUAACGAACGAGACUCUAGCCUACUAAAUAGUGGAUGAAUUUUUAGUUCAUCAUACUUCUUAAAGGGACAAGGGGUAUCUAGCCCCACGAGAUUGAGCAAUAACAGGUCUGUGAUGCCCUUAGAUGUCCGGGGCUGCACGCGCGCUACACUGAAGGAGUCAACAUGCAUUAAAACCUAGUCUGGAAAGACCGGGUAACCCAAUGAAACUCCUUCGUGAUUGGGAUAUGGAAUUGUAAUUAUUUCCCUUGAACGAGGAAUUCCUAGUAAAUGCGGGUCAUCAUCUCGCGUUGAAUACGUCCCUGCCCUUUGUAC
rnacentral:rRNA from 1 species